UCCGACUCUCGCAUUUUAAACCGUUAGAUCAGGCAUCGACGGCAGCCGCGCUUCCUACCUACAAGGACAGGCUACCGAUUACCCAUUGCGGCCUUCUGAGUUCCCAAUUUUUACCUUUUCAGACCUUAAAACCCUAGUCUUCGACUCUCGCUUUGUCUGUGACUCUGCGCUUCUUGCUCCUUGCUCCUUGCUCCUCCUUCAUCGGUCUCUAAAGGAUAAAUAUGAGUCGCUCUAGCAGGACACUCUAUGUUGGUAAUCUUCCUGGAGAUAUUCGUGAGCGAGAAGUUGAGGAUUUGUUUUACAAGUAUGGACCCAUUGCACAUAUUGAUUUGAAACUUCCUCCAAGACCUCCUGGUUAUGCUUUUGUUGAGUUUAAAGAUGCUCAUGAUGCUGAUGAUGCUAUUCGUGGUCGUGAUGGCUAUGAUUUUGAUGGGCAUCGGUUGCGGGUUGAGCUGGCCCAUGGUGGUCGUGGUCACUCAUUCUCUAAUGAUCGCCACAGUAGCCACAGCAGUGGUCGAGGUCCUCGAGGAGGAGUGUCAAGGCGUUCUGACUAUCGAGUGUUAGUCACUGGAUUGCCCAGUUCUGCUUCAUGGCAAGAUCUUAAGGAUCACAUGCGUCGGGCUGGGGAUGUUUGUUUCUCCCAAGUUUUUCGUGAGGGGAGUGGGAUGUCUGGGAUAGUGGACUACACCAACUAUGAUGAUAUGAAGCAUGCUAUAAAAAAACUUGAUGAGUCUGAGUUUCGGAAUGCAUUUGGACGUGCAGUAAUAUAUGUUAAGGAAUAUGAUUCAGGUCGCUCAAGAAGCCGAAGCCGCAGUCGCAGCCGGAGUCCUUCUUAUUCAGGAGGAAGGAAUGGCAGCCGUAGUCGUAAUCGAAGCCGAAGUUAUAGUCGUAGCAGGAGCAGAAGCAAAUCUCCUAAAGCCAAAUCUUCUCGACGUUCAAGAUCUCAUUCAAAGUCUCCAUCACGAUCCCCUCCUAGGUCAAAAGCACGCUCUAUGUCAAGCAUUAACUUGUGGUCAUAAAUUGGAGAAUGAAACUUCCUUUUUGGUGCUUCAUGAGAGAAUAGUCUUAAAGGAAAAGGGGAACUAGACCUGAAAAGGGUAAGAGAACCAAAAAGUUCUGUUUUUGUUUCUGGUGCGAAAACCUCAUAUGUUUCUCAAGGAAAUCCUCAUUGUAUUUUUCUCUUUGUAAAUAUGAAGUCACUGUUUUUUUAGAUCGGACUAUCUGCAGCAAUUUGUGGACUGCGUAUUAGGAACUUGAAUGGAUAUGGCUCAAUUGCCUACAACACUUUUGGUUGUUGAGAUUAUGAACAAAGAAGACAUGGAUUCUGGUGAUGAAGCUGGAUUUGGAACUGCUAAUUGAAAUUGGGAAUCACCAUCUAUUUGCAGCAGUAUAUUUUUUAUUAGUUCCUAUGCUGCUAGUAUAAUAAGGAACAUGUAUCUGAUUAUCUCAUAGCUUUUAUUCUUUUGGCAUCUCAAGCAUUGGUGUUGUGUGGGGCGUCUAUAAUCUUGGCUAAGAAGUCUUAAGUAGGUAACUUACAUAGGUGAAUAAAUAUCAUAUACUGCAGCCCUUACACUGUUUAACAUUUUGAUAAUUUGACAUGGAAGUGGAAUCAAAGGUGUUGGGUGAAAGUUCUAAUGCAGAUCAUGUAGGGACUUAAAUUGGUUUUUUUUUUCCUGGAAAUUUUGCAGAUCUUUAUCAAGAUCCAGGUCCCCAGUGCCACCUCGUAAGAAAGAAGUCAGUGAAAGCCCAAA